rnacentral:rRNA from 1 species
CAAUAGCGUAUAUUAAAGUUGUUGCAGUUAAAAAGCUCGUAGUUGGAUUUGUGGCGUACGGUGUGUUCCGGGCACUUGUUGUCUGAGUAACCUGCUGUUGCCAUCCUUGGGUGGAACCUGUGUGGCAUUAGGUUGUCGUGCAGGGGAUGCCCAUCAUUUACUGUGAAAAAAUUAGAGUGUUCAAAGCAGGCUUAUGCCGUUGAAUAUAUUAGCAUGGAAUAAUGAGAUAGGACUUUUUUGCUAUUUUGUUGGUUUGCGCAAAGAGGUAAUGAUUAAUAGGGACAGUUGGGGGUAUUCGUAUUCCAUUGUCAGAGGUGAAAUUCUCGGAUUUUUGGAAGACGAACUACUGCGAAAGCAUUUACCAAGGAUGUUUUCAUUAA